rnacentral:rRNA from 1 species
AUACCUACGGGAGGCAGCAGUAGGGAAUCUUCCACAAUGGGCGAAAGCCUGAUGGAGCAACGCCGCGUGGGUGAAGAAGGUCUUCGGAUCGUAAAACCCUGUUGUUAGAGAAGAAAGUGCGUGAGAGUAACUGUUUACGUUUCGACGGUAUCUAACCAGAAAGCCACGGCUAACUACGUGCCAGCAGCCGCGGAAAUACGUAGGUGGCAAGCUUUAUCCGGAUUUAUUGGGCGUAAAGGGAACGCAGGCGUUCUUUUAAGUCUGAUGUGAAAACCUUCGGCUUAAC